rnacentral:lncRNA from 1 species
GUUGUUUCUCAGCUUCCUGCUGUUUCUUCUGGUGCUCGGACUUCUUUAAUUUGAACGUAGCCUGUUUGCUGCCCACGGUCGUAUCAGAUACAUUGAGCGUGCCAAGUUUUUCUUCAAGCUUCAAACGAUCUCCGAGAGUUUUCUUCAUUAACUUCUGUUUUUUGGCAGAGUCUUUGAAGCUUCUGAAUUCCUCUCCUUCUUUAAUCUCAAAAAACUGAGGUUUUAGCAAUGUUUGCUGAUCCUCCUUGAACCUUUCCUGCCGUUUUACUUUUUCCUCUUGGCGUAGAAGCUUGCGCUGUUUCCUGACCUCUUCAACCCAACCUUUUUCAUCAUCUGAACUCUCAGAACUUUCCGCAUCACUUGGUUUUCCUUCUGGUUCUUCCUCCUCUUCCUGUUCUCUUGCUUCCUGUUCCUGUAAGAGCUUCAGUUUCUUCUUUCUUUUCUCACUUAUCUUAGAAACAAGUGGGUUAAGUAGCCUAAAUUCUUCACUCUGCUCAUCUACCUGGAAAUCAGGAUUCUCAAACAUGACCUUAAAGCGAUCAUCUUUGAGAAGGCUAGGCAGAUUCUUUUGUUUCCUUUUUCUAGUAGCUUGUUGUUCCUCUCCUUCUUCUUCGAUCAGUUUGAGGGCAAGCUCUUUAUUGACCUUGGGAAGUUUCUUCAGCUGAACUCUUUGCGCACGUGUUUCUUCUAUUUUCUGUCUUAUUUUCUCUCUUCUGUAUUCUUCAUAAGCAAA